rnacentral:rRNA from 1 species
CAGCAGCCGCGGGAAUACGAAGGGUGCAAGCGUUAAUCGGAAUUACUGGGCGUAAAGCGUGCGUAGGCGGUGAGUUAAGUCUGCUGUGAAAUCCCCGGGCUCAACCUGGGAAUGGCAGUGGAUACUGGCUCGCUAGAGUGUGUCAGAGGAUGGUGGAAUUCCCGGUGUAGCGGUGAAAUGCGUAGAGAUCGGGAGGAACAUCAGUGGCGAAGGCGGCCAUCUGGGACAACACUGACGCUGAGGCACGAAAGCGUGGGGAGCAAACAGGAUUAGAUACCCCGGUAGUCCCUGUCUCUUAUAU